UAUCAACUCGCACAAAUGCCUUCGAGUCUUAGCCUGGAUAAAAUCACUAGCACAAUUCCCUUCGGGUCUUAACCCGGGUAUAGCAACUCGCACAAAUGCCUUCGGGUCUUAGCCCGGAUAUCAUUCAAAUGCUCAUGCACACAUAUAUCAAUAAUCAUGACACAUCCAUAUUUCAUUUUCAUUACUAAAGCUCAAACACAAAACAUUUAUUAAACCUUUCCAAU
rnacentral:lncRNA from 1 species